rnacentral:rRNA from 1 species
AGUGAACGCUGGCGGUAGGCCUAACACAUGCAAGUCGAACGGCAGCACAGUAAGAGCUUGCUCUUACGGGUGGCGAGUGGCGGACGGGAGAGGAAUACAUCGGACUCUACUUUUUCGUGGGGGAUAACGUAGGGAAACUUAAGCUAAUACCGCAUCCGACCUACGGGUGAAAGCAGGGGAUCUUCGGACCUUGCGCGAUUGAAUGAGCCGAUGUCGGGUUAGCUAGUUGGCGGGGUAAAGGCCCAGCAAGGGGGCGAUCGGUAGCUGGUCUGAGAGGAUGGUCGGCCGCACUGGAACGGGGACACGGUCCAUACGCCUACGGGAGGGAGCAGUGGGGAAUAGGGGACAAUGGGCGCAAGUCUGAUCCAGCCAGACCGCGUGGGUGGAGAAGGCGUUCGGGUUGUAAAGCCCUUUUGUGGGGAAAGAAAAGCAGCAGGUUAAUACCCCGCUGGUCUGACGGUACCCAGAGAAGAAGCACCGGCUAACUUCGUG